rnacentral:rRNA from 1 species
GAUUGUACGUGCUUGCGCGGACUUGGCGAUGUGUUUACCAACGAGUGGCGGACGGGUGAGUAACACGUAGGUAACCUGCCCCAAGACGGGGGAUAACAUUUGGAAACACAUGCUAUUACCGCAUAACAAUUUGAAUCCCAUGAGUCAAAUUUAAAAGAUGGGUUCCGCUAUCACUUUGUGAUGGACCUGCGGCGCAUUAACUUGUUGGUAGGGUAACGGGCUACCAAGGCUGUGAUGCGUAGCCGAAUUGAAAGACUGAUCGGCCACAAUGGAACUGAAACACGGUCCAUACUCCUACGGGAGGCAGCAGUAAGGAAUCUUCCACAAUGGGCGCAAGCCUGAUGGAGCAACACCGCGUGAGUGAAGAAGGGUUUCGGCUCGUAAAGCUCUGUUGUUAGAGAAGAACGUGCGUGAGAGCAACUGUUCACGCAGUGACGGUAUCUAACCAGAAAGUCACGGCUAACUACGUGCCAGCAGCCGCGGUAAUACGUAGGUGGCAAGCGUUAUCCGGAUUUAUUGGGCGUAAAGCGAGCGCAGGCGGUUUGAUAAGUCUGAUGUGAAAGCCUUUGGCUUAACCAAAGAAGUGCAUCGGAAACUGUCAGACUUGAGUGCAGAAGAGGACAGUGGAACUCCAUGGUAG